rnacentral:snRNA from 1 species
AUACUUACCUGGCAGGGGAGAUACCAUGAUCACGAAGGUGGUUUUCGCAGACCAAGGCUUAUCCAUUGCACUCCGGAUGUGCUGACCCCUGCAAUUUCCCCAAAUGUGGGAAACUUAACUGUAUAAUUUGUUGUAGUGGGGACUGCAUUCACACACACACAAA